GUUACUGCUAUCGGGGUUCGAUUAAGCCAUGCAAGUUAAAUGUUUUUCGUAAACAUAGCGAACUGCUCAGUAACACGUGGAUAACUUAACCUUAGGUCCGGCAUAACCCCGGGAAACUGGGGAUAAUUCCGGAUGUAUCAAGGAUGCUGGAAUGCCCUUUGGUUCAAAGCUUUUGUGCCUAAGGAUAGGUCUGCGGUCUAUCAGGUUGUAGUGGGUGUAACGUACCUACUAGCCGACGACGGAUACGGGUUGUGAGAGCAAGAGCCCGGAGAUGGAUUCUGAGACAAGAAUCCAGGCCCUACGGGGUGCAGCAGGCGCGAACACUUUACAAUGCGGGAAACCGCGAUAAGGGAACCCCGAGUGCCAGUACUAAGUGCUGGCUGUCUAGAUGAAUAGAUAUCAUUUAAUAGCAAGGGCCGGGCAAGACCGGUGCCAGCCGCCGCGGUAACACCGGCGGCCCGAGUGGUAACCGAUAUUAUUGGGUCUAAAGGGUCCGUAGCCUGUUUAAUAAGUCCUUUGGGAAAUCUGGCAGCUUAACUGUCAGGCUGCUAAAGGAUACUGUUAAACUUGGGACCGGUAGACGUAGGGGGUACUCCAGGGGUAGGAGUGAAAUCUUGUAAUCCCUGGGGGACCAUCUGUGGCGAAGGCGCCCUACGAGAACGGGUCCGACGGUGAGGGACGAAAGCUAGGGGAGCAAACCGGAUUAGAUACCCGGGUAGUCCUAGCUGUAAACGAUGCUCGCUAGGUGUCAGGCACGGUGCGUCCGUGUCUGGUGCCGCAGGGAAGCCGUUAAGCGAGCCACCUGGGGAGUACGGUCGCAAGGCUGAAACUUAAAGGAAUUGGCGGGGGAGCACUACAACGGGUGGAGCCUGCGGUUUAAUUGGAUUCAACGCCGGGA
rnacentral:rRNA from 1 species